AGAACAUUCGGACCGUCGGUCUACAAAGAAAUGUCACGUGCUCGGUGGAAGAUCUUCCCUUAAUCCU
rnacentral:pre_miRNA from 1 species